GCUCUCUUGGCGGCGAGUGGCGGACGGGUGAGUAAUAUAUCGGAACGUGCCCAGUAGCGGGGGAUAACUACUCGAAAGAGUGGCUAAUACCGCAUACGCCCUACGGGGGAAAGGGGGGGAUCGCAAGACCUCUCACUAUUGGAGCGGCCGAUAUCGGAUUAGCUAGUUGGUGGGGUAAAGGCUCACCAAGGCAACGAUCCGUAGCUGGUUUGAGAGGACGACCAGCCACACUGGGACUGAGACACGGCCCAGACUCCUACGGGAGGCAGCAGUGGGGAAUUUUGGACAAUGGGGGAAACCCUGAUCCAGCCAUCCCGCGUGUAUGAUGAAGGCCUUCGGGUUGUAAAGUACUUUUGGCAG
rnacentral:rRNA from 1 species